rnacentral:rRNA from 1 species
AGAGUUUGAUCCUGGCUCAGAUUGAACGCUGGCGGCAUGCCUUACACAUGCAAGUCGAACGGCAGCACGGGAGCAAUCCUGGUGGCGAGUGGCGAACGGGUGAGUAAUAUAUCGGAACGUGCCCAGUCGUGGGGGAUAACGCAGCGAAAGCUGUGCUAAUACCGCAUACGAUCUAUGGAUGAAAGCGGGGGAUCGCAAGACCUCGCGCGAUUGGAGCGGCCGAUAUCAGAUUAGCUAGUUGGUGGGGUAAAAGCCUACCAAGGCGACGAUCUGUAGCUGGUCUGAGAGGACGACCAGCCACACUGGAACUGAGACACGGUCCAGACUCCUACGGGAGGCAGCAGUGGGGAAUUUUGGACAAUGGGCGCAAGCCUGAUCCAGCAAUGCCGCGUGCAGGAUGAAGGCCUUCGGGUUGUAAACUGCUUUUGUACGGAACGAAACGGUUCUCUCUAAUACAGGGGGCUAAUGACGGUACCGUAAGAAUAAGCACCGGCUAACUACGUGCCAGCAGCCGCGGUAAUACGUAGGGUGCGAGCGUUAAUCGGAAUUACUGGGCGUAAAGCGUGCGCAGGCGGUGAUGUAAGACAGAUGUGAAAUCCCCGGGCUCAACCUGGGACCUGCAUUUGUGACUGCAUCGCUGGAGUGCGGCAGAGGGGGAUGGAAUUCCGCGUGUAGCAGUGAAAUGCGUAGAUAUGCGGAGGAACACCGAUGGCGAAGGCAAUCCCCUGGGCCUGCACUGACGCUCAUGCACGGAAGCGUGGGGAGCAAACAGGAUUAGAUACCCUGGUAGUCCACGCCCUAAACGAUGUCAACUGGUUGUUGGGUCUUCACUGACUCAGUACGAA